rnacentral:lncRNA from 1 species
GGAAGAUCAGUCUGUAGCUUUUCCAUUUUUUCCCCUUUUAACUGUUACAUAGAAGAUUGUCCUGUUGUGGUUCGCCGGCAGCAGGUGCAGAUGGCUGAGGUCUCGGAGAGCGAGGACUCAGAUGAGGGGCCUGCGUGUGAUGCAGGGAUGGCACCAGGACCAUCAGGGAGUAGAAGGCUGCCUUCGGAGAUUGUGGAGGCUGGCAGCAGUGAUGAAGAGGCCCCUGAAGAGCCUGUGCCCAGAGCGCAUGCACGCAGGGCUGCUCGAAGGGAAGAACAGCUGUAGCAGCACAGGUCUUGGGAUUCUCACUAGGGGUUCAUCAAUUCUGGAGUUGAAGGUCCACAAAUCCAGAUGGCACCUCGAUUGAGAAAUCUGACCAGAAUUUGUACUCAAUAAUGCCAAAGAAUGUACAGCCAUUUUUGAUUCUCAGCUUGCCAACAACCCGAGGGCAGAGGGAGAGAAAGAGUGUACAAUCCCGGUGACGAGACAACCAUGGGGACCAAGGACAUUUCAACAGGUGUUUGCCAGAACCAAAAAAGACUUUCUCACAACAAUAUUAAGAAAUACAAUUGGACAAUGGGACCUGGCCUAAUAACGGGAGGGAGAACCUAUACUUUAACUAUAUGGCUUUGCAUGGGAAAUAGCUAGAUCUGGUUUUACUUUCAUACGUGCCGAAAUUAUGUACUCAAUAAAGUUUUGCAUAAGGAG